rnacentral:rRNA from 1 species
CCCUUAGAUGUUCUGGGCUGCACGCGCGCUACACUGAUGCACUCAACGAGUUUACGACCUUGCCCGAUAGGGUUGGGUAAUCUUUUUAAAAUGCAUCGUGAUGGGGAUAGAUUAUUGCAAAUAUUAAUCUUGAACGAGGAAUUCCUAGUAAGCGCAAGUCAACAGCUUGCGUUGAUUACGUCCCUGCCCUUUGUACACACCGCCCGUCGCUACUACUGAUUGGAUGUUUAAGCGAGGUUCUCGAACUGCUAGCGACUUAGCUUCGGUGAGGUCGCAGUGUGGGAAGUGAACCGAGCUUUGGUGUCUAGAGGAAGUAAAAGUCGUAACA